GCCAAUGUAGCUCAGCUGGCUAGAGCACCGCUUUCGUAAAGCGGGGGUCGCGGGUUCGAGUCCCACCAUUGGCUCCA
rnacentral:tRNA from 1 species